CCUAAGACACUCUUCUUGGACCUGACUUAAACACAUAAGGCCCAAGCCCAAUCACACACUAAAAUAACACAUAAGUAUUAAAAUAUAAGCCCAAAACAUGGCCCAACACUCUAAAACUUAAAAGAUAAAGUAUGGCCAGAAUAAAAGGCCAAACAAAGCUAAAAUAAAACAAGUGUUAAAUAAUAAAAAUAUAGCAAGCCCAUCAUAACAAAGUUGAAUCUUCACAAAAGCCUUACUUGAUCUUCACUUUAGGCUUCCCUUUGUGUAGUUUUAGCCCAUAGGUUUGAUUAGGCUCCCUAACAAGUGUUAAAUAAUAAAAAUAUAGCAAGCCCAUCAUAACAAAGCUGAAUCUUCACAAAGGCCUUACUUGAUCUUCACUUUAGGCUUCCUUUUGUGUAGUUUUAGCCCAUAGGUUUGAUUAGGCUCCCUAAGCCUAUGAUUGCAAGUGUUGCACCAAAUAUGUCCCAUAUGAGUUGAAGCACGCCCCAAAUAUAUAUGGAUCAUAUGAAUAUGAUUUUGAACUCCUUUUAGAUCCAUUUGAAUGAUAUAAGUUUGCUCCACACCAUUGUUAGAAAUUUGCCCUAUUGAAUCCGUAUCAUUCUCUCCUUCUUUAGAAAAGAUUCGUCCUCGAAUCUUGCUGAUAUUUAUGUCAAAAAGGGAAGCUUUAGGAACCCAUGUAUCUUUAAAGACCUCCUUUUGAAUAGGUGGAAAUAGGAUAAAACUUUCUUCAUGAAUGUUUUCAUCAACAACCUGCACAUCAAGAACAAAUGAACUAGGCAUAAAAAUAUUAGUCAUAGAAAGAUCCUGUGGAUGUGAUCCAUUCUCCUCUACAACUUCCAAAACAGUCUCAUUCGCCUCCUCCACCUCAUCAAUCACGUGCUCCCCAUGUCCCUCAUCAUUCACAACCUCUUCUAUAAGUUCAUUAAUGGAAUUCUCAACAACAACUACAUUAUAUUCAUGCAUUACAACUUCCUCUUCAAUUUCUGUAAUACCCGGCUAGAGUCCGACAUCGGAAUUCUACUUUUCGGUGGAAUCCAGGAUGUCGGAACCCUCUAGAAGGGUAAUAAUUAUGUUUUCUAAAGAGUUUUAGUAUGUUUUAAUGUUUUAAGUGUAAAAGGAAAUGCGUGUUUGAAAGAAAAGCACCAAGGGAGAAAAGCCAGGUUCGGCCGCCGAAGGUGAUUUUCGGCCGCCGAACAUGCAUGGCAUUCAGGAUCACGUUUGGCCGCCGAAGGUGGUCUGGCCAGCCACCUAUAAAAGGCCAUAGGUCGGUGAAUGGAUAAGAUUUUCUUCCAUUUCCACAGACAGAGGUGAGACCAUGAUCUUCCUUGGGUGAUCUUCAUGUUUCCUUCAAAUCUUUCGAAGUUUUGAGAAGUUUUUAUGUUGUUUUGAAGCUUGUGAGCUAAAAACCAAAGUUUUGAAGUUUGGAGACUUUGAGAGCUUGUUUCUCCAUAUCUCCACGUUAGGAUCACCUAUCCUCUCGAUCUUUAAGAGGUAAGUGUAGAUCCUUAGCUUCUUUGAUGUUUUAUGAAGGUUUUAUGGGUAGAGAUGCAUGAGUAGGGUUAUGUACAUUUUUGGUGUAUAAUAUGUUUAUGUGAUGUGUUGUGAUGUUUGUUGGGGUUUUAAGUUAGUUUUGGACCCCUUUGUGCAUGUAUUUGGGUAUAUGCUUGUUGGUGAGUUGUUGGUUGCAUGUGUGAGUGCAGUUGGGAGAGUUUUGCAUGAAGCAGAGCAAGGUUCUGCCUUACUAGAGAACCCAGUUUCGGCCGCCGAACAUGCUAAGGAGGUGGUUUCGGCUGCCUAAGCUUGCCCCUGAAAGUUUAGACUUUCGGCUCUGGAGGGAGGUUCGGUUGCCGAAAGUGCCGCCGAACAUGCAUGAGUUUCGUCUCUGGAAGGACUUUCGGCUCUGGAGAGAACUUUCGGCCACCGAACCUGCUGCCAAAAGUGUCCUAUCCAGCCUUCUUUUGCAUGUUUUAUGUGAUUGUUUUAGGAUGUUUUAGGGGGAUUUUGGGGAGUUUUAUAGGGAUGUUCUUGAGCUAGUUUGGUCCCUCAUUUGAGUCCAACUGUGUAGGAACGGACCAGAGGAACCGAAGAGAUCAGCAGUGAGCACUGCUUCAGAGUCAGUCAAAGGUGAGUGGAACUAAACUUAAUCUGUUAAUAUGAGAAACUAAAUGCUUUUAGCAUGUUUCAUGCACCAUGAUUAUGCAAUAGGUUGAUUGCAUUAGAAUUCACGAAUAUGUUGCAUUGCAUUCUAUGUUGUUGUUGUGGAUGAUAGUGGAUGAUCCAUUAGUCCCUGAGAAAGACCAGGUGCCCAGUCUAUGCCCUGGCACGGUAUAUGAGAAAGACCAGGUGCCCAUUCUACGCCCUGGCACGGUAUAUGAGAAAGACCAGGUGCCCAUUCUAUGCUCUGGCACGAGUUAUGAGGUAAGACAGGAAGACCAGGUGCCCAUUCUACGCCCUGGCACGAGUAUAGGAUGUCGGGACUAUUAGUGACAUGUUCAUCCUUGAUGUGAAUUGUCUGUGAUAUGAUGCAUUCCAUGUGAGCAUGUUUAAUAGCAUGUUUUUACUGUUCUACUCACUAGGCUAUAGUAGCUCACCCCACUCUCUUAACCCCAGUCUUGCAGGUUCAGAGGUCAGGAGGAGUUCAGCAGAGUACAGAAAGAGUAAAGAGUUGUGUAAGCGCCUAGUGUGGCCUAGUGUGGACAUGUAAUAUUGUAAAAGAGAUGUGUUAGUAAUGUAUAGAGUAUUGUAUAGUAUUGUGCUAGACCCUUAUGUUUGUAAAUCCCUUUUUGUAUACAUGGUCUGUUUAUGUAAAUGUUUUAUUGAAUGAGAAUGGAAAAACCAGGCUAACUUAUAUAGUGUGGACCCAGCUAGAGCAUUUGAUGAGGGCUCUAGUAAGGGGUCUGUGCACAGAGAUAGUGCAUGCACAGGUUGAGCCUUGGUACAGAGCAAAGUUUUAAAUUUUACAGAAAAUGUAUGAUCAUGUAUGGGAUUUUACAGGUACACAGAGAGUUUAGCAGGCUUGCUACGGGUCCCGACGACCUUAAGUCGACCUGGAUCCUAGCGCCGGUAGCAGUCCGGUUUUCGGGUCGUUACAAUUUCAAUCUCUAUGGAAGUUGAGAUUGGAAUUUUAGCCUCUUCUUUCUCCUUUCCUUUCUCCAUCUUUCCUCCUUGAACUAGUCUUGAUUCUUUCCCAGCCUCUUUACCCUCAAACUCACUCUUUUCUCUCAUCUUUUCCGCAGAAUUCAAGCUCUCAUUCCCCUUUGUGGCUAAGGCCGAAGCCUCCCUCUCCCUCUCCAGCAUCUUUAUUUGAUCAACAUAUACCUCUUGAGGUGAUAAAGGAGCGAGUAUAACCUUCUGUCCUUUAUGAGUGAAGGAGUACUUGUUAUUGAACCCAUCAUGUUGCACCUUUCUAUCAUGUUGCCAUGGUCUACCCAACAACAUAUGGCUUGCCUGCAUAGGUACCACAUCACAUAAGAUCUCAUCCUUAUACCUACCAAUAGAAAAUGGUAUAACCACCUAGCGUGUAACCCUAACCUCUCCACAAUCAUUCAACCAUUGCAAUCUAUAUGGCUUAGGGUGUUUAAUAGAAGCCAAGCCCAAUUUUUCCACCAUAUACACACUAGCCACAUUUGUGCAACUACCUCCAUCAAUAAUGAGAGUACACACUUUUCCAUUAACCAAACACCUAGUGUGAAAUAUGUUUUCCCGUUGUUCUAGGCUUUCUUCCUUAACCUGCAUAUUCAGAGCACGCCUAGCAACAAGCAUCUCACAAUGUGCAGCAAGCAACACAUUAUUAACCAACAUAUCCAAAUCAUCACAGUCAUUAUUGCAAUUAAGAGUUCUUUGAGGUAUUCUUGUAGAAGUGGAAGCUUGUGAGACAUUCAAACUCUCCAUAGUUUCAGUUAACCUCUCAAGAGUCUUAUUGAGCAUUUGUAACUCACCACUAACUGACUUCUUAAAGAGCUUAUAAUCGUUACCCAUAUUCGAUUCACUUCCAUCAGUACGAUCCACCACAUUCUUGUCUUUACUCAUCCUACCAUUCUUUUGCUGAUUCUUCAAUUGCACUUCAGAAACUAAGGUCAACUAACUAACCACAAGGUACGUUUAAUGAAACAAAGAAGAAAACCUAAAGAAAGAAGGAAGCGCACAAAAAACUAGAAAGAAGACACUGACAAUUUGGAAAGUAAAACACGAACUAGGCUUUGUGCUACUUGAAAAAUAUCACCUAGAGUAUAGACCCAAGCAAACAAUACUCCAGCAAUGUCAAGGAAGCAAAAGCAACCUUAAACCAAAAAAGGAAACUUAGAAUUCAAAUAAAAAAAAUGAACCUGAAUAAAAGUUUGAAUUUAAUUCACUUCAAAGCGAAUUAAAUAUGGAUCUAUAUAAAUCUACCCAAAAAGGAAAGUAUCAAAACCUCACAAAUAGAAUCAGAAAGAAAAAUGUAAAUUUCACUCAGAUCAGAAAUAUGGACGAAAAUUCUGGUUUUAAAAGAAGGAUUUGACAUCAAAUCGAUUUAGAUGCAGUUGCCUUAAAUGUGCACCUUAAGGAAUAGGCAGAUUUCUUUUGUCUCCUAAUCUGGAUUCAACCCAAUUAAAAAUUCAAACUUGAUUCCCAUAAACUACAGCAAUCAAUUGAGAUAGGUAAGGAAAUAUAGAUGAAAAAGGAAGCAUAUCACAAUUUCGGCCAGAUCAAGAUAAAUAUGGCAAAGGCGAUUUUUUUUUUUUGGAUUUCAAAUUUUUCUUCCAAAAGAGAUUAUAUGAUAAUUUAUCAAGAAGGUGCAGCCAUGAAUACGCAAGCUUUCACUGAAAUCAACAAGGAAGAAAAGGAAAAACUCAAAAAAAAAAAAAACUCUAGAUCCUGAGAUAAAUAAGAAUUUACCUCACUUUGGCUCUGAUACCAACUGAAGCGGAACCCUAUGGCACAAGCCUCAAACCCACACGCACAAGUAGAUAUGGAGUCCAAAGAUUUGAUAAACUCACCUCCUAUGGCACCCCAAACUUAGAGAAGCUGAAACACCAAUGAUCGAAGGAUUUAGAUGAGAAUCUGACAAACGCCACAACGAAUAGUUGAUAAGUUAGCCAAUAUUCCUGGUGCAAUUGAUGAAAACAAAUCCCCACUCUCACUCAAAGCAAUACACGCCAAAAGCAUGAAAAUAAUUCUGAAAUUUUGAUUAAAAGCUGCCUCUUACAAUUGUUUCUUAUUCUUAUAUAGUAAGGAGAAAAACAAAUAAAAUCCUAAGACACUCUUCUUGGACCUGACUUAAACACAUAAGGCCCAAGCCCAAUCACACACUAAAAUAACACAUAAGUAUUAAAAUAUAAGCCCAAAACAUGGCCCAACACUCUAAAACUUAAAAGAUAAAGUAUGGCCAGAAUACAAGGCCAAACAAAGCUAAAAUAAAACAAGUGUUAAAUAAUAAAAAUAUAGCAAGCCUAUCAUAACAAAGCUGA
rnacentral:lncRNA from 1 species